UUGCAGAUAUAUAUACUGAGGAUUGAAAUGAGAAUAACUAGGGUGCCCCCUAUAGCUCCAGCUAUGAUUGCACUUUUUUUAGAUUGGAAAGAUUCAGAUGAUAUUCUGGGAGCACUUGAGUCAGAUCGAGCUGGAGCUGAAAUGGAAGGUGGUGCAGAUGGAUCACUUGUAGAUAAAUUUCCAAUUGGCUUCCUUGUAGGUGGUGCAGAUGGAUCACUUGUAGGUGGUGCAGAUGGAUCACUUGUAGAUGGUGCAGUUGACUCUUUUGGAGAUGGUGAGGGGGAUGUCCUAGAAGGACGAGGAGAAGUCACAUCUUUGUUAUUUUUAUUAUUUUUCAGCUGUCGUCUGUGAACUGCAUUUUCUAUACGCACAAGAUUCCUAUCGAAAAUGAAAAAGAAAGGCAUUAUAUUAUAAAAGCAUGGAGCACUUAAAACAUUAUGUACAAAGAAGAUCAAGAAACACAAGAUAAACUCAAGAAAAAUUCUAAAGGUAUGACAAUUCAGAGGUCACUUCAAUGUCAAAGACAUUAGGGAAAUGUCACCCCAUGGUCUAAAGAGCCCAUACAAUAACCUCAUAAGGACCCAUCUCCUGGAGUUUGCCCCAGACAUCCAGAGUGAUAUCACCCACAAGAGAGUAUCAUCAAGUUGAUCAUAGUGACAUACCAUG
rnacentral:lncRNA from 1 species